CCUGAAAGUGAGCAGGGACCACUGCUGUGGAAGUUGUCCAUGCAGCAGCUGCUUUGUCAAGUACAAAGUCUUCUUGGAGGACUCAACCACACAUCUUUUGGAGGAAGCACGAGGUCAUCUUUCCCCACUGGCUCUGAUCCUUCCUGGGAAGUUGUCCUUUGGGGGGCCAGCAGUGGACCUCACUCAUCAGCUUUGAUCCUCAGGCCUUGGAUCAUCAGCCUGCAGGAUACAGCUGUCAGGCUUAGAAAACUCUGCAUGGCUUAGUAGCCCUGACUGCACUGACCACUGAUCCACUGAGGAGCCGAUGUCUGCAGUUCUCAUCCUGGAGGGACAGGUAAGGGUG
rnacentral:lncRNA from 1 species